GGCAGCCGCGGUAAUUCCAGCUCCAAUAGCGUAUAUUAAAGUUGUUGCAGUUAAAAAGCUCGUAGUUGAAUUUCGGGGUCAGUAGAUUGGUCAUGCCUCCGGUAUGCACUGGUCUUACUGGCUCCUCCUUCCUGAUGAACCGUAAUGCCAUUAAUUUGGUGUUGCGGGGAGACUGGACUGUUACUUUGAAAAAAUUAGAGUGUUUAAAGCAGGCUAACGCUUGAAUACAUUAGCAUGGAAUAAUGAAAUAGGACGUUCGAUCUUAUUUUGUUGGUUUCUAAGAUUGACGUAAUGAUUAAUAGGGAUAGUUGGGGGCAUUAGUAUUCAAUUGUCAGAGGUGAAAUUCUUGGAUUUAUUGAAGACUAACUACUGCGAAAGCAUUUGCCAAGGAUGUUUUCAUUAAUCAAGAACGAAAGUUAGGGGAUCGAAGACGAUCAGAUACCGUCGUAGUCUUAACCAUAAACUAUGCCGACUAGGGAUCGGAUGAUGUUAAUUUUUAAUGACCCAUUCGGCGCCUUAC
rnacentral:rRNA from 1 species